UGGGAAUAUUGGCACAAUGGGCGCAAGGCCUGAUGCCAGCCAUGCCGCGUGUGUGAAGAAGGCCUUCGGGUUGUAAAGCACUUUCAGCGAGGAGGAAGGUGGUGAGCUUAAUACGCUCAUCAAUUGACGUUACUCGCAGAAGAAGCACCGGCUAACUCCGUGCCAGCAGCCGCGGUAAUACGGAGGGUGCAAGCGUUAAUCGGAAUUACUGGGCGUAAAGCGCACGCAGGCGGUUUGUUAAGUCAGAUGUGAAAUCCCCGGGCUCAACCUGGGAACUGCAUUUGAAACUGGCAAGCUAGAGUCUCGUAGAGGGGGGUAGAAUUCCAGGUGUAGCGGUGAAAUGCGUAGAGAUCUGGAGGAAUACCGGUGGC
rnacentral:rRNA from 1 species